GCCUGAGAAACGGCUACCACAUCCAAGGAAGGCAGCAGGCACGCAAAUUACCCAAUCCCAGCUCUGGGAGGUAGUGACGAAAAAUAACAAUGCGGGACUCUUCCGAGUCUGCGUAAUUGGAAUGAGCACACUUUAAAUCCUUUAGCAACAACCAAUUGGAGGGCAAGUCUGGUGCCAGCAGCCGCGGUAAUUCCAGCUCCAAUAGCGUAUAUUAAAGUUGUUGCGGUUAAAAAGCUCGUAGUYCGARUUCAGUUCCGGACUGGCYGGGGAGGUCACCGCCCGGUGCUUCCCCGUCAGGCUCCGAACAGCUUUUAUGACUAAAAGCCAAGCCGGUUUCGCCGGGGUGCUCUUCACCGAGUGUCCCGCGCGGCCGGCCAGUUGACCUUGAAUAAAUGAGAGUGCUCAAAGCAGGCUACUCUUAAAAAUAAAGCCCGAAUGUUACCUGCAUGGAAUGAUGGAAGAUGAUCUCGGUUCCAUUUUAUUGGUUCUGGGAGUCCGAGUUAAUGAUAAACAGGGACUGUCGGGGGCAUCCGUACUACGACGCGAGAGGUGAAAUUCAGUGACCGUCGUAGGACGAACAACAGCGAAAGCAUUUGCCAAGAAUGUCUUCGUUGAUCAAGAACGAAAGUUAGAGGAUCGAAGGCGAUCAGAUACCGCCCUAGUUCUAACCCUAAACGAUGCUGACUAGCAAUCCGCCGUCGUUAUUCCCAUGACGUGGCGGGACGCCCCCGGGAAACCUCAAGUCUUUGAGUUCCGGGGGUAGUAUGGUUGCAAAACUGAAACUUAAAGGAAUUGACGGAAGGGCACCACCAGGAGUGGAGCCUGCGGCUUAAUUUGACUCAACACGGGAAACCUCACCAGGCCCGGACACCAGAAGGAUUGACAGAUUAAGAGCUCUUUCUCGAUUUGGUGGGUGGUGGUGCAUGGCCGUUCUUAGUUGGUGGAGUGAUUUGUCUGGUUAAUUCCGGUAACGAACGAGACUCUGGCCUACUAAAUAGUCGACGUGGGUUUUGGUGCAUGGGCCCCGUUCGACAAUGUCUUCUUAGAGGGAUGAGCAGCGAGUAUAGCUGCAGGAGAUUGAGCAAUAACAGGUCUGUGAUGCCCUUAGAUGUCCUGGGCCGCACGCGCGCUACACUGAAUGGGUUAGCGGGUUCUCCUUCUCCGAGAGGAGAGGGAAAUCGCGUGAAAACCAUUCGUGAUAGGGAUUGGGGCUUGCAAUUGUUUCCCAUGAACGAGGAAUUCCCAGUAAGCGCAAGUCAUCAGCUUGCGUUGAUUAAGUCCCUGCCCUUUGUACACACCGCCCGUCGCUACUACCGAUUGAAUGAUUUAGUGAGGCCUUCGGAGCUGGCGGUCUUGGACUGGGCUCCACUCGCCAUCACUCCAGCAAUGGGGGGCGGUGGACUCGCCAUGACGAGCCGGAAAGAUGUCCAAACUUGAUCAUUUAGAGGAAGUAAAAGUCGUAACAAGGUUUCC
rnacentral:rRNA from 1 species